rnacentral:rRNA from 1 species
AGAGUUUGAUCCUGGCUCAGAUUGAACGCUGGCGGCAGGCCUCACACAUGCAAGUCGAGCGGAUGACGGGAGCUUGCUCCUUGAUUCAGCGGCGGACGGGUGAGUAAUGCCUAGGAAUCUGCCUGGUAGUGGGGGACAACGUUCCGAAAGGAGCGCUAAUACCGCAUACGUCCUACGGGAGAAAGUGGGGGAUCUUCGGACCUCACGCUAUCAGAUGAGCCUAGGUCGGAUUAGCUAGUUGGUGAGGUAAAGGCUCACCAAGGCGACGAUCCGUAACUGGUCUGAGAGGAUGAUCAGUCACACUGGAACUGAGACACGGUCCAGACUCCUACGGGAGGCAGCAGUGGGGAAUAUUGGACAAUGGGCGAAAGCCUGAUCCAGCCAUGCCGCGUGUGUGAAGAAGGUCUUCGGAUUGUAAAGCACUUUAAGUUGGGAGGAAGGGCAGUAAGUUAAUACCUUGCUGUUUUGACGUUACCGACAGAAUAAGCACCGGCUAACUCUGUGCCAGCAGCCGCGGUAAUAC